GGGGCCAUUGAAACUGCCACGGAAGACUUGAAAGGCCACAUUGCCAAGACUCCUGGAGAGAAAAUUCAAGGCUUCUGGCUCUUGACAGAUAUAGGAGAGAAGACUGACAUGAAUUAGGUAAUCACAGAAAUAGCUAUAAAAUUGCAUCUGGGAGAAGUGUUGUGAAGGAGAGAUGUGAAGUUCUAUGAAAGUAUAUAUUAGAAAGAAGAGAAGUAGUCAUGGAGGUCUGGGAAAGCUUUCCAGAGUAAGGAGUAAUUGAGCUCAGUGCUAUAGGAAUUAAUUAAGUAAAGAAGAUCAAGAACAUGACCGGCGGAGGCAAGAGCACGUGCAAAGUCCCUUCAGCAGGAGUAGGCAUUGUGAGUCCAAGAAACUGAAAGAAGAUCAAAGAGAAGGGAGUACAGAGGCCUGAAAUGUCAUUGAAGAAAUAGCAUAGACCGCUGGAACAAUGAAAAGGAGAGGAUUUUGCUGGUCACAGACAGGACUCUCUUGAUCGGCAAAUAUGACUUCAUCAUGCUCAGCUGUGUGCAGUUGCAAUGGAUUCCCCUGAGUGCUGUCUAUCGCAUCUGCCUGGGAGACAAGGAGAAGGCCUUAGGAUCUACUGGGGAAGUCCAGAGCAGCAGUCACUAUUAUCCUGUUGGAACCCGUGGUCCACUGAGGCGCCUUAUGCUAUCUUCACUGAGCACCCUAUGAAGCACACCAGUGAGAAGUUUCUCGAAAUCUGCAAGGCUGGACUGUUCCCAAAUGACCUUCAAAAGGACACAAUGCAGCAUCAUCAAUGGAGCAAAUCAGAAAAGAUGAGAGGAGGAAAAUAUCUCUUAGCCCUGAGGUCAGUCUGUACCAAUAGGUUACCAAGGCUGUUUAGUGUGGAGAAGAAUGAUCUCAGAGAUGACAUGAGAAUUGUCUUCACAUUUCACACAGAUUGUCCUGUGGGAUAUUCCAGAAACUGAUCAGUGGGAUCUAGAAAUCAGGAUUAUGACCAGAGGAUGAGAGGAUUCAGGGAUUUGGAUGGCAGUUUAAGACAAGAAAGAACUUCUUAUAGGUAAAAAUGUCCAAAGACGGGAAGCUUUCCUCCUUGAAAGAGUCUCCCAUCACUUGAUGUGAACUAGUAGGGACUAGAUAAAGUGGAUAUUGUGAAAGGGAUUGUUAAAGGGACGCUUGAUAAAAUCAUUUAAAACCAGAGACCUUAUGAUUCUCCAAAUAAUUGUUGUCAAUGAUUAGGUAAUACAUCUUUUUUUUUUUUUUUUGGAAAGAGUUGAAUCAAUCAUGUGAGACCUUGGAAAAUUACCUGAACUUUCCUAAGGUUUAAUUUCCUCAUCUGUAAAAUGGAGACGAUGCUAUCUCUUUUGUCUACUUCAUAAAGACCUUGUGAGGAUUCAAUGAAAUGAGGUUAAAUUAUUUUAUUAAAUAAAAGUCACUUAGUAUCUGCCUGUAGUGCAAUGUCACUUUGGCAGCAGAAACUGGGACACCAGCCAAGGGAACUAAAUUUAUUUCUUCUGGGAAUUGUUUUUUGGUCACCAUGGACCUGCUGACCAUCUCUUUCCCAUUUGACACAUGGUAUUCUCACGAGGUUUCCUUGUCCAUAAGCUUGACAAGUAACCACAACCCACAAACCAGGAGACCUAUAUGUAUACCUGGGCUUUUCCUUCAGGCUACCAUCUGAACUAUACCAAUAACAUUUCUCAAAGGGCCAUCCUAGGUCUGAUUGGGAAUAAGAUUUGAUACAAGAGGCAUUAAGUACAAAGCAUAUCAUCAUAAAAAUGUCAUGGUUGGCCAUUUUCACUAUCUGGUCUUUGUCCAUUCAAGA